GCUGGAAGCUAAGAUAUUACGGCCUUCUCUCUUGGAGAAUGAUAUAUUGGAACUUGGAAGGACCCCCGUACUUGACUGUCCUGCAGCUUAGAAUAGGCAGCUGCAAGCGCAAAUAAACAUUUCAGUGCGGGACACGGAGAAGAACAGGUGAACGGAAAUCCAUUGCUGAUAUCAGACUUGCAGAAAACUUUACAUGCUGUUUGUCAUCGCAUGGCGACUGGAAUAUCAGGUCUUGCUGAUUGAUCCUCCCGAAGUCAGCUGAAACCUAUAACCAGCCGUCGGCGUGGGGCUAAGUGCAAAGAACCGUGACCACUGGUACCGAAUCACUUUGAUAACUGUGGAAGAAGCACGGUGGUGGGGGUGCGAGCAGGCAGGCAAAACGGAGAAAGGCGUGGCCUUACGUGCAUGCCACGGUGUCGAUCCGGAGGCGCACCACUGCACCUGCCUGUCGUUCCCUCAAGUCGCAAGCCAUUUCUGGUGCACCGUCCUGUCAUCAAGGAGCAGACGUACAGGGAUGGUAUGCUAGGCAGCUAUUGUGAUCUAGAGCGAGAGGUUCCUUUCAUGGACUUAUCGCUGCAGGGCACCGGCAGGUCACGAGGAGCUCACGGUUAGCCGCCUAUUUCCAUGAACCGAGAGAGUGGUUAGCUUCCAGCCUUCCACCGAUCAGCUGCUACUACCAGUUCUGGGUCCCUGUUGAUUGGCCGAACGAGACCUGACGGCAGCAGAUGGAAUCUCUCCCCCUGGCCUGAGGAUCACGAGGAAUCUCGAUCACUUGGUAACAAGAUUCCCCUCCCAUUGAUGACGUUUAAGAUCUAAACCAAAGCAACGUCUCCCUCUUCUACAGUUGGAGUUGUUGGACCCGACCUACUAUGAUAGAACAGAGGCACCUAAACAUGGGCAUCUCCGGUCUCCAAAACGCGCCCGAUUCAACUUGUUUCUUUCUCGUUUUCUUUUGAAGAUUCUAUGUUGUAUGUAUAUGAUGCGUUCUUUUUCUUUCUCUCUUUUUUUUUUGAGAUUCUAUGUUGAAUGGGGCUCAUGCACAUCGAAAACAUUCUGGGUGCCGCUCGAUUUCAUGAGGAAAACGCCGUGACACGAGGUAAGGGCAACUUGUGCAACACAGGGAGGUCUGGACGAAAAACUCCUCGUUACCUCGCUCGACUCGUGGUCUGCUGUGCUCGGCUCGGCUCGUUGUGUUUUCCUAACGAGCUGAGCUCAUGUUUUCACUCGCGAGCAGCUUGCGAGCCUAACGAGCCAAAGGAAACGGGCUCCUCAGCCGCCAUUCCGAGGCAAGCCAAAUGAGCCCCAGAGCCUU